rnacentral:lncRNA from 1 species
ACAUUUCUGGGCGACAACAAAAGUGAAAGAUGUAAGUUAAAGCUACAGCAGAAGAUGAUGUCUUUGUGGUCCUGGGUCAAUCAGCCCAGUGAGCUGAGUAAAUUCACCAAUCCCUUCUUUGAAGCCAACAACCUGGUCAUCUGGCCUUCAGUUGCUCCACAGUCUUCCACUGUGGGAAGGUAUUUUCCUACAUUGGAAUAGAUCCUCUAAGUAUUUGGAUGAAGCAUAUGAAGAAAUGGUUAACAUCAUUGAAUAUAAUCAGGAAUUACAAGCAAAAGUCAAUAUCCUUAGAAGGCAGCUGGCAGAACUGGAAACAGAGGACGAGAGGCAAGAGAGUCCC